rnacentral:misc_RNA from 1 species
AUCGGCUAUCAGUGUAGAUAUUGAUGG